AAACAACCUCAGUGAAGGGGGAGCUUUCUGGGCUUGGGGCUGUAAUUCAGUCACGUUUGAGGAGAUGGCCUGUCCCUCCCUCCAUCAAACACAGGAAGGUACCUCCAGAGAAAAUCUCUUCAACAUUCUCUCAUCAAAUGGCAUGCAAGAACACCAGGAUCUGGAUGUUUAUGUGGAUAGAUCAUUGAAUGUGGUUGGAUUGCUGCAGAACAUGUAAUAUCCCUAUAAAAGCAAGGAGAACGAUUGCAGUACAACACCAGAGAAUACAGAGGAUAGACACCGCAGAUAGAUGCUGACCAUCACCCAAGGAACAGCUGCAAAACUGUGCGAAGGCAUUCAGUCCUGGUGUAGCAUUGUUCAACACAGAAGGUUGGGCCAUCAUCUGGAAAUCAGUUGGGUCAAGGGACCAUUGACAGAUCUGAAAC